rnacentral:rRNA from 1 species
UACGUAGGGGGCAAGCGUUGUCCGGAUUUAUUGGGCGUAAAGAGCGUGUAGGCGGCCAUGUAGGUCCGUUGUGAAAACUCGAGGCUCAACCUCGAGACGCCGAUGGAAACCAUGUGGCUAGAGUCCGGAAGAGGAGAGUGGAAUUCCUGGUGUAGCGGUGAAAUGCGCAGAUAUCAGGAAGAACACCCGUGGCUAAGGCGGCUCUCUAGUACGGUACUGACGCUGAGACGCGAAAGCGUGGGGAG